GACGAACGCUGGCGGCGUGCUUAACACAUGCAAGUCGAACGCUGAAGCUCAGCUUUUGUUGGGUGGAUGAGUGGCGAACGGGUGAGUAACACGUGAGUAACCUGCCUCCUUCUUUGGGAUAACGCCCGGAAACGGGUGCUAAUACUGGAUAUUCACUGGUCUUCGCAUGGGGGUUGGUGGAAAGGGUUUUUCUGGUGGGGGAUGGGCUCGCGGCCUAUCAGCUUGUUGGUGGGGUGAUGGCCUACCAAGGCUUUGACGGGUAGCCGGCCUGGGAGGGUGACCGGUCACAUUGGGACUGAGAUACGGCCCAGACUCCGACGGGAGGCAGCAGUGGGGAAUAUUGCACAAUGGGCGAAAGCCUGAUGCAGCGACGCCGCGUGAGGGAUGGAGGCCUUCGGGUUGUGAACCUCUUUCGCUCAUGGUCAAGCCGCAACAAUGGUUGUGGUGAGGGUAGUGGGUAAAGAAGCGCCGGCUAACUACGUG
rnacentral:rRNA from 1 species